AUGGCGUCGACGCUGCUGCGCAAGGUGUGGGGCUCCGUGCUCUCCCGCGCGGUGCCGCGCGACCCGGACGCCUCCGCCUCCUCCUCCUCCCCGCGCCGCCGCGGCGCCCCGGCGGCGGCGGCGGCGGCGGAGUACGGCUCCCUGGGCGCGCUCGACGCGGUGCCGAUCGACGUGCUGGCGCAGAUCCUGCGCCUGCUGGGCCCCGCCGACGCCGCGCGCUCCGUCGCCGUGUGCCGCACCUGGCGCCUCCUCGCCUCCGACAACGCGCUCUGGGCCUUCUUCCUCAGCCUCGGCCCCGACCCCUGGGACCUCGUCGUCUUCGCCGAGACCCACCUCGCCGCCGGCCCCGCCCAGCCCCGCAGCGUCUACUUCGGCACCGUUCGCGUCCCGCCGCAGCUCUCCUUCAAGCGCAUCUACGGACAGCGAGCGCUCGUCCCAGGCUCUAUCAUAGUCGAUGGUGGAUCAGGCUAUUGCAAGUAUGGCUGGAGCAAGUAUGCUGCUCCUUCUGGGCGUUGUGCAACUUUUCUGGAAUUUGGUAACAUCGAGUCCCCUAUGUAUGCAAGACUUCGCCACUUUUUCUCGACAAUCUAUAACAGGAUGCAUGUAAAGCCUUCUGCUCGACCAAUUGUUGUUGCCCUUCCCCUCUGCCACUCCGAUGAUACCGAGGCUGCUAGGGCCUCAAGAAAGCAAUACAAGGAGACAUUGUACUCGGUUUUGUUCGAGAUGAAUGUUCCUGCUGUUUGUGCUGUUGAUCAAGCACUCCUAGCUUUGUAUGCUGCUAGACGAACCUCUGGUAUUGUUGUCAACAUUGGAUUCAAUGUCACAUCCGUUGUUCCCAUCUUUCAAGGUAGGGUGAUGCGUGAGAUAGGCAUUGAAACUGUGGGGCAAGGUGCUCUGAAACUUACUGGAUUUCUAAAGGAGCUAUUGCAGCGAAGGAAUAUUUCUUUUGAAUCACUGUACACUGUUCGGACAAUCAAGGAGAAAAUUUGCUACGUCGCGGCUGAUUAUGAAGCAGAACUAUGUAAAAACACACAAGCUUCCUGUGAGGUGGAUGGUGAAGGGUGGUUCACUCUAUCAGAAGAAAGAUUCAAGAUGGCAGAAAUCCUUUUCCAGCCCCAGAUUGGAGGAGUUCGUGCUAUGGCUUUGCACAAAGCAGUAUCUCUAUGUAUGGAUCACUGCUACAAUACAGAGGUGCUCCGUGACCACAGCUGGUUCAAGACGGUGGUUUUAGCUGGUGGAUCGUCGUGCUUACCUGGUUUGCCAGAGAGGCUCGAGAAAGAGCUCCACAAACUUCUUCCUCCAUACAUCUCAGAAGGAAUAAGGGUUCUGCCUCCUCCAUUUGGCACAGACACCGCCUGGUUCGGUGCAAAGAUGAUCGGCACUGUGAGCACUUUCUCGGAUGCAUGGUGCAUAAACAAGAAGCAGUUCCGCCAGAAGUCACGCCACAGUGGUUCGUCUUUAGUGAAUGCAUGGCGAUAG
rnacentral:rRNA from 1 species